rnacentral:rRNA from 1 species
ACGAACGCUGGCGGCGUGCUUAACCCAUGCAAGUCGAACGGAAAGGCCCUGCCUUUGUGGGGUGCUCGAGUGGCGAACGGGUGAGUAACACGUGAGUAACCUGCCCUUGACUUUGGGAUAACUUCAGGAAACUGGGGCUAAUACCGGAUAGGAGCUCCUGCUGCAUGGUGGGGGUUGGAAAGUUUCGGCGGUUGGGGAUGGACUCGCGGCUUAUCAGCUUGUUGGUGGGGUAGUGGCUUACCAAGGCUUUGACGGGUAGCCGGCCUGAGAGGGUGACCGGCCACAUUGGGACUGAGAUACGGCCCAGACUCCUACGGGAGGCAGCAGUGGGGAAUAUUGCACAAUGGGCGGAAGCCUGAUGCAGCAACGCCGCGUGCGGGAUGACGGCCUUCGGGUUGUAAACCGCUUUCGCCUGUGACGAAGCGUGAGUGACGGUAAUGGGUAAAGAAGCACCGGCUAACUACGUG